ACUCCUACGGGAGGCAGCAGUGGGGAAUAUUGCACAAUGGGGGAAACCCUGAUGCAGCCAUGCCGCGUGUGUGAAGAAGGCCUUCGGGUUGUAAAGCACUUUCAGUAGGGAGGAAGGUAGUGUAGUUAACACCUGCAUUUAUUUUGGACGUUUACCUACAGAAGAAGCACCGGCUAACUCCGUGCCAGCAGCCGCGGUAAUACGGAGGGUGCGAGCGUUAAUCGGAAUUACUGGGCGUAAAGCGCAUGCAGGUUGGUUUUGUUAAGUCAGAUGUGAAAGCCCGGGGCUCAACCUCGGAAUUGCAUUUGAAACUGGCAAAACUAGAGUACNGUAGAGGGGGGUAGAAUUUCAGGUGUAGCGGUGAAAUGCGUAGAGAUCUG
rnacentral:rRNA from 1 species